CAGUCGAGCGAACAGAUAAGGAGCUUGCUCCUUUGACGUUAGCGGCGGACGGGUGAGUAACACGUGGAUAACCUACCUAUAAGACUGGGAUAACUUCGGGAAACCGGAGCUAAUACCGGAUAACAUAUUGAACCGCAUGGUUCAAUAGUGAAAGGCGGCUUUGCUGUCACUUAUAGAUGGAUCCGCGCCGUAUUAGCUAGUUGGUAAGGUAACGGCUUACCAAGGCAACGAUACGUAGCCGACCUGAGAGGGUGAUCGGCCACACUGGAACUGAAACACGGUCCAAACUCCUACGGGAGGCAGCAGUAGGGAAUCUUCCGCAAUGGGCGAAAGCCUGACGGAGCAACGCCGCGUGAGUGAUGAAGGUCUUCGGAUCGUAAAACUCUGUUAUCAGGGAAGAACAAAUGUGUAAGUAACUGUGCACAUCUUGACGGUACCUGAUCAGAAAGCCACGGCUAACUACGUGCCAGCAGCCGCGGUAAUACGUAGGUGGCAAGCGUUAUCCGGAAUUAUUGGGCGUAAAGCGCGCGUAGGCGGUUUUUUAAGUCUGAUGUGAAAGCCCACGGCUCAACCGUGGAGGGUCAUUGGAAACUGGAAAACUUGAGUGCAGAAGAGGAAAGUGGAAUUCCAUGUGUAGCGGUGAAAUGCGCAGAGAUAUGGAGGAACACCAGUGGCGAAGGCGACUCUCUGGUCUGUAACUGACGCUGAUGUGCGAAAGCGUGGGGAUCAAACAGGAUUAGAUACCCUGGUAGUCCACGCCGUAAACGAUGAGUGCUAAGUGUUAGGGGGUUUCCGCCCCU
rnacentral:rRNA from 1 species